CAAGUACUCCCUCCGUCCCAAAAUAAGUGUCUUGAACUUAAUACAAAUUUGAACUAGAGCUAGUACAAAGUUGAGACACUUAUUUUGGGACGGAGGGAGUAUUAA
rnacentral:pre_miRNA from 1 species